rnacentral:rRNA from 1 species
UACGUAGGGUGCAAGCGUUAAUCGGAAUUACUGGGCGUAAAGCGUGCGCAGGCGGUUUUGUAAGUCUGUCGUGAAAUCCCUGGGCUCAACCCAGGAACUGCGUCCGAUACUGGUUGGCUUGAAUCCGGGAGAGGGAUGUGGAAUUCCAGGUGUAGCGGUGAAAUGCGUAGAUAUCUGGAGGAACACCGGUGGCGAAGGCGACAUCCUGGACCGGUAUUGACGCUGAGGCGCGAAAGCCAGGGGAG